UGACUGGGGCGGUCUCCUCCUAAAGAGUAACGGAGGAGCACGAAGGUUGGCUAAUCCUGGUCGGACAUCAGGAGGUUAGUGCAAUGGCAUAAGCCAGCUUGACUGCGAGCGUGACGGCGCGAGCAGGUGCGAAAGCAGGUCAUAGUGAUCCGGUGGUUCUGAAUGGAAGGGCCAUCGCUCAACGGAUAAAAGGUACUCCGGGGAUAACAGGCUGAUACCGCCCAAGAGUUCAUAUCGACGGCGGUGUUUGGCACCUCGAUGUCGGCUCAUCACAUCCUGGGGCUGAAGUAGGUCCCAAGGGUAUGGCUGUUCGCCAUUUAAAGUGGUACGCGAGCUGGGUUUAGAACGUCGUGAGACAGUUCGGUCCCUAUCUGCCGUGGGCGCUGGAGAACUGAGGGGGGCUGCUCCUAGUACGAGAGGACCGGAGUGGACGCAUCACUGGUGUUCGGGUUGUCAUGCCAAUGGCACUGCCCGGUAGCUAAAUGCGGAAGAGAUAAGUGCUGAAAGCAUCUAAGCACGAAACUUGCCCCGAGAUGAGUUCUCCCUGACCCUUUAAGGGUCCUGAAGGAACGUUGAAGACGACGACGUUGAUAGGCCGGGUGUGUAAGCGCAGCGAUGCGUUGAGCUAACCGGUACUAAUGAACCGUGAGGCUUAACCUU
rnacentral:rRNA from 1 species